rnacentral:rRNA from 1 species
UACGUAGGGGGCAAGCGUUGUCCGGAAUUAUUGGGCGUAAAGAGCGUGUAGGUGGCUCGGUAAGUCUGCUCUGAAAGCCCGGGGCUCAACCCCGGGAGGCGGGCGGAUACUGUCGAGCUAGAGUCCGGAAGAGGCGAGUGGAAUUCCUGGUGUAGCGGUGAAAUGCGCAGAUAUCAGGAGGAACACCAAUGGCGAAGGCAGCUCGCUGGGACGGUACUGACACUGAGACGCGAAAGCGUGGGGAGCAAACAGG